CAGAGAAACAGCUCGACUCACAGAGAAUAGAGAAAAGCAGGGCAAGGCAAUGGCCCACCUGGGAGCAACACAGAGCCAAGGGAACCUCCCCCCAUGCAGAGAAGUGGAAUCCUUGAAUCUGCCCAUCAGAUAACCUGUCAACCUUUCCAGGAAGACUUAGCCACUCAACACCUGUAUUCCCACGGGACUCUGCUCAUCCCUUUACCUUGGAAAAAUAAAACCACCAAAUCUUAUUACUGAAGCUGGGCCCUUCUUAUGCUUAAGAAAAACAAAGCAAGCUAUGGAUGAAGAGAUUUUGUAUUGAUAAAGAAUAACACACCUUUCCCUGGC